ACGUGCAGAAAGAAAAGAGUAAGCAAGCUGGGUUUGGGAGAUUUGCAAGCUUUAUUGCAAAGAGUGCCGGGUGAGAAGGAUCCUAGGGAGGAGGUCCGGGAAGGGAGGUAGUGUGACCCUGAGGAGGGGGUGAAGGGCUGGGAGGAGCACUUGGAGUUUCUUAGAAAUAGAACAAGGAGCUGCAGGAGGGUGCUGGCUGAGGACAUUUGUAGCUAAAUGCGAUGUCACAUGAGCUCUUUCGCCUCCAUCGCGUGGCGGCAGCUGCGGUGGCCGCGGUUCAGUAGCGCAUGUGCAGUGCGUGGUCUACGCCUGGGAGCGGCACACCCUUGAGGUGACUGGCAGGAGAUGACUGGCCCUUGGGCAGAAGAUCAGGUAGCGUGGCAUCGCUCCAGAAGCUCAAGCCGUUCUCCUGGUUGGCCCUAGAGGUUGAGACAGCCUGGGAUGGGGUGGAGCCUCUGACACCCCGGAAGCAGCAGACCGCGUGCUUGGAGGUCAAGGUCGUGGUUCCCUGACCUGGGCUGAGAGAGCAGACAUCAGCUCACGGGGUGGCCAAACGGGAGAAGACCUGCCUGGCCAAAGAGCCCCGACUGCUAACACUUCCUGUACUGAAACCUCAAACAACGUGCCUGCUCCUCAGUCACUGCAAGCAGCAACGUCCAUUGGAGAAGGAAAAAUAAAAGAUUCAUCAGGGUCUGCAUCUGAUUCUGUGUAAAUCUGAGGUGAGGGCUCCUUUGCUGGUCUACAUGAAUAUACCUAUAUUUUGCAUGACUGAUUUUAUGCUCAGCCUUACAAAUUCCACCUGAAUCUGCCCACACCCUCUUCUUCU
rnacentral:lncRNA from 1 species